AGCAGCCGCGGUAAUUCCAGCUCCAAUAGCGUAUAUUAAAGUUGUUGCAGUUAAAAAGCUCGUAGUUGAAUUUCGGGAUUGACGUGACGGUCAUGCCUUAAGGGGUAUGAACUGUUACUGUUGAUUUCUCACCUUCUGGAGAAACUUGAUGUCCUUUAUUGGGUGUCUUGCGGAUCCAGGACCUUUACCUUGAAAAAUUAGAGUGUUUAAAGCAGGCAUUUUUGCUCGAAUACAUUAGCAUGGAAUAAUAGAAUAGGACGGCAUGGUUCUAUUUUGUUGGUUUCUAGGAUCACCGUAAUGAUUAAUAGGGAUAGUUGGGGGCAUUAGUAUUCAAUUGUCAGAGGUGAAAUUCUUGGAUUUAUUGAAGACUAACUACUGCGAAAGCAUUUGCCAAGGAUGUUUUCAUUAAUCAAGAACGAAAGUUAGGGGAUCGAAGACGAUCAGAUACCG
rnacentral:rRNA from 1 species